CACGUGUAGCGGUGNAAUGCGUAGAGAUGUGGAGGAACACCAGUGGCGAAGGCGACUCUCUGGUCUGUAACUGACGCUGAGGAGCGAAAGCGUGGGGAGCGAACAGGAUUAGAUACCCUGGUAGUCCACGCCGUAAACGAUGAGUGCUAAGUGUUAGGGGGUUUCCGCCCCUUAGUGCUGCAGCUAACGCAUUAAGCACUCCGCCUGGGGAGUACGGUCGCAAGACUGAAACUCAAAGGAAUUGACGGGGGCCCGCACAAGCGGUGGAGCAUGUGGUUUAAUUCGAAGCAACGCGAAGAACCUUACCAGGUCUUGACAUCCUCUGACAACCCUAGAGAUAGGGCUUUCCCUUCGGGGACAGAGUGACAGGUGGUGCAUGGUUGUCGUCAGCUCGUGUCGUGAGAUGUUGGGUUAAGUCCCGCAACGAGCGCAACCCUUGAUUUUAGUUGCCAGCAUUUAGUUGGGCACUUUAAGGUGACUGCCGGUGACAAACCGGAGGAAGGUGGGGAUGACGUCAAAUCAUCAUGCCCCUUAUGACCUGGGCUACACACGUGCUACAAUGGAC
rnacentral:rRNA from 1 species